rnacentral:rRNA from 1 species
UACGAAGGGGGCUAGCGUUGCUCGGAAUCGCUGGGCGUAAAGCGCACGUAGGCGGCUUUCUAAGUCGGGGGUGAAAUCCUGGAGCUCAACUCCAGAACUGCCUUCGAUACUGGAGAGCUCGAGUUCGGGAGAGGUGAGUGGAACUGCGAGUGUAGAGGUGAAAUUCGUAGAUAUUCGCAAGAACACCAGUGGCGAAGGCGGCUCACUGGCCCGGUACUGACGCUGAGGUGCGAAAGCGUGGGGAGCAAACAGG